rnacentral:rRNA from 1 species
CCCUUAGAUGUCCUGGGCCGCACGCGCGCUACACUGAGUGUCUGAGAUACGAGUCUGCCUGGUCCGGCAAGGUCUAGGUAAUCGCUAAAAGACACAUCAUGCUUGGGAUAGAUUAUUGCAAAUAUUAAUCUUGAACGAGGAAUUCCUAGUAAGCGCAAGUCAACAGCUUGCGUUGAUUACGUCCCUGCCCUUUGUACACACCGCCCGUCGCUACUACUGAUUGGAUGUUUAAGCGAGGUUUUCGAACUGCUAGCGACUUAGCUUCGGUGAGGUCGCAGUGUGGGAAGUGAACCUAGCUUUGGUGUCUAGAGGAAGUAAAAGUCGUAACA